UCUUCCCUCACUUCUUCACACAACUCUCUCUAGCUUUCCUCUGAUGUUCUUGAGAGCAAAGUAUUCAAAGUGAGAGAAAGGAUUGAAACCAAGUAGCUUGAGUGAGGUAUUGAAGUGAGUUGAGUUUUGAGAGCUCAAGGGCCAUGACUUUUAAGUUGUAUUAGGACCGGCAUUCGAUGAACAAGAUGAAUCAUUGGCUUCAGAUGACUAAGAAGGAGCUUGAUUUGGAGAAGAUGCUGGACUUGAUUUUAACUUAAGUAGCAAUGACUCUGUACACUAUAGAGCAGAUGUGAGAGUUUAUUCGAUUAUGUAGAUUUGUUUUAUGGAUAUUCUAUCUCCCAUAUUAUGUUGAACUCAUAUAGACCUCUUAAGUGAGGAAGUAUCUAUUUAUGAUUUAUAAAUCAUUGGGAUGUUUAGUUCA